GUGCCAGCCGCCGCGGUAAUACGUAGGUGGCAAGCGUUAUCCGGAAUUAGUGGGCGUAAAGCGCGCGUAGGCGGUUUUUUAAGUCUGAUGUGAAAGCCCACGGCUCAACCGUGGAGGGUCAUUGGAAACUGGAAAACUUGAGUGCAGAAGAGGAAAGUGGAAUUCCAUGUGUAGCGGUGAAAUGCGCAGAGAUAUGGAGGAACACCAGUGGCGAAGGCGACUUUCUGGUCUGUAACUGACGCUGAUGUGCGAAAGCGUGGGGCAUCAAACAGGAUUAGA
rnacentral:rRNA from 1 species